rnacentral:rRNA from 1 species
UACUUGGAUAACUGUGGUAAUUCUAGAGCUAAUACACGCAGAAGGAGCGCAUUUAUUAGAACAAAACCAAUUUUGGUGAAUCUGAAUAACUCAUGGUCUUUGUACCGGCGACGCAUCUUUCAAGUGUCUGCCUUAUCAACUUUCGAUGGUAGUUUAUGCGCCUACCAUGGUUGUAACGGGUAACGGAGAAUCAGGGUUUGAUUCCGGAGAGGGAGCCUGAGAAAUGGCUACCACAUCCAAGGAAGGCAGCAGGCACGCAAAUUACCCAAUCCCGGCGGGGAGGUAGUGACGAAAAAUAACGAGAUAGUCCCCGAUAUCAUCGGAAUGGGUAAAAUUUAAAUCUCAUAACGAGGAUCUAUUGGAGGGCAAGUCUGGUGCCAGCAGCCGCGGUAAUUCCAGCUCCAAUAGCGUAUAUUAAAGUUGUUGCGGUUAAAAAGCUCGUAGUUGGAUCUGCUAGAUCAGUGGUCCCCCAUUGGGUGUGACUUCUGGUUUCCCUUGUUGCUCUUAAUUGAGUGGCUGGGUGGCUAGAACUUUUACUUUGAAAAAAUUAGAGUGCUCAAAGCAGACGAUUUGUCUGAAUAGUGGUGCAUGGAAUAAUGGAAUAGGAGGUUCUAUUUUGUUGGUUUUAAGAGCUCGAGGUAAUGAUUAAAAGGGACAGACGGGGCAUUCGUA